rnacentral:rRNA from 1 species
UAAUUGAAGAGUUUGAUCAUGGCUCAGAUUGAACGCUGGCGGCAGGCCUAACACAUGCAAGUCGAACGGAAACAUGUCUAGCUUGCUAGAUGAUGUCGAGUGGCGGACGGGUGAGUAAUGCUUGGGAACUUGCCUUUGCGAGGGGGAUAACAGUUGGAAACGACUGCUAAUACCGCAUAAUGUCUACGGACCAAACAGGGCUUCGGCUCUGGCGCAAAGAGAGGCCCAAGUGAGAUUAGCUAGUUGGUGAGGUAAAGGCUCACCAAGGCAACGAUCUCUAGCUGUUC